rnacentral:rRNA from 1 species
UACGAAGGGGGCUAGCGUUGUUCGGAAUUACUGGGCGUAAAGCGUAUGCAGGCGGAUCGUUAAGUCGGGGGUGAAAUCCUGGAGCUCAACUCCAGAACUGCCUUUGAUACUGAAGAUCUUGAGUUCGGGAGAGGUGAGUGGAACUGCGAGUGUAGAGGUGAAAUUCGUAGAUAUUCGCAAGAACACCAGUGGCGAAGGCGGCUCACUGGCCCGGUACUGACGCUGAGGUGCGAAAGCGUGGGGAGCAAACAGG